rnacentral:rRNA from 1 species
GUUGCCUCAGACUAGCCAUGCACGUCUAAGUACAAACUAAAUGAUGGUGAAACUGCAAAUGGCUCAUUACAACGGUUAUGAUGUACCCGGGAGUUCCGAUGGAUAUUUCCAGUAACACUAGAACUAAUACAUGUCCCUGCGUUUAUUAGUUUCGCACAGUCCGUCGCUGAGUCAUGGUAAACAGUUGAUCGACUCGACGUCCCGGAACAGUUUCCGCCCCAUCAGCUUCGAUGGUUGGGUAUUGGCCUACCAUUGCAACAACGGGUAACGAGGAAUUAGGGUUUGAUUUCGGAGAGGGAGCCUGAGAAACGGCUACCACAUCUACGGAUGGCAGCAGGCGCGCAAAUUACCCAAUGCAGACACUGUGAGGUAGUGACGAGAAAUAAUAAAGCGGGACUUCUGUUUCGCUAUUAUAAUGAGGAAUAACCAAAGGUCAUUCCGAUUAGCAACUGAUGGGAAAGUCUGGUGCCAGCAGCCGCGGUAAUACCAGCGUCAGUAGC